ensembl:lncRNA
GAGUGUGCCUGCUGUCUCUGACAUGUCAGUGGGAAGCUCCCUCCUUCAGCUCGUUCUGGACUAUUUUUGAGCCUCUGUGCUGCAGGAGACUGUUUUCAGUGACGUGUGAUGCAGACAGCAUGCUGGCAGGCACUGCGGUGCAGAUAAACGGGCCCGGCCAAGGAGCAUUGGACCCAUGAUGGAUUUCUCCUGUGAUGAAACAGACAAAGGCCUGCCGGUACAGAUGCACAGCCUCCGAGAGUUCGAGCAGGU